UACAGAGGUCCCAAGCGUUGUUCGGAUUCAUUGGGCGUAAAGGGUGCGUAGGCGGCGCGGUAAGUCGGGUGUGAAAUCUCGGAGCUUAACUCCGAAACUGCAUUCGAUACUGCCGUGCUUGAGGACUGGAGAGGAGACUGGAAUUUACGGUGUAGCGGUGAAAUGCGUAGAUAUCUGGAAGAACACCAAAGGCGAGGGCAGCGUCCUGGGAAGCAUCUGACGCUCAGGUGCGAAAGCUAGGGGAGCGAACGGG
rnacentral:rRNA from 1 species